UCUCUUGUGGACUAGUGGUUAGCAUGCGGCGCUCUCUUCACCACGGCCCAGGUUUGAUUCCUGGUCAGGGAA